rnacentral:pre_miRNA from 1 species
CCCUGAUAGCAGAUUUGUUUGAUCGUCUUGGCCAAGCCAAGGUAUUUACCAAGAUGGAUUUAAGGAAAGGAUAUUAUCAAG